UGGGGAAUCUUGCACAAUGGGGGCAACCCUGAUGCAGCGACGCCGCGUGAGCGAUGAAGGUUUUCGAAUCGUAAAGCUCUGUCCUAGGGGAAGAUAAUGACGGUACCAUAGGAGGAAGCCCCGGCUAACUACGUGCCAGCAGCCGCGGUACUACGUAGGGGGCGAGCGUUGUCCGGAAUUACUGGGCGUAAAGGGUUCGCAGGCGGCAUGGCAAGUCCGAUGUAAAAGGCGAAGGCUCAACCUUCGUAAGCAUCGGAAACUGUCAAGCUUGAGUGAAGGAGAGGCAAGUGGAAUUCCUAGUGUAGCGGUGGAAUGCGUAGAUAUUAGGAGGAAUACCAGUGGCGAAGGCGACUUGCUGGACUUCAACUGACGCUGAGGAACGAAAGCGUGGGUAGCAAACAGG
rnacentral:rRNA from 1 species